GAUCAUCUUUGGUCAGAUCUUGAUACAAAGUAUAUAGAAACCUUCUUCUGUAUACAUGGACAGUGAGCAGAAUACCCGGCGAUUCCUCUGUCGAUAUCAUUCUCGUUCUGUGCACGCUGGCUCUAUCUUUUCUAUUCUACAUUAAGAAUGCUUAUCAAGCAGUCGACAGCAGUUUAUAUUUUUCAAAUUAAUGAGUCGAUCAUUGCUGCAGACAGAAGCACCGGACCGCCAGGCGGUGGUCCUUCACCGGCUGUCAAAUCGCCUGGCGCAUUGAUUUUCGAAGGGUCCGAGGAGGAUGAGCACGGCACCACCAUGCACGAUUCCGGGUUUUCCACGUAUUUUCUCGCGUGAAGUUUUUGCCUAUGUUUAGCAGAAAUGGAAGUCCAAGGAAGUAUGCGUGCCCACUGGAAUAACAGGAACUUUAUCAGAUUCUUUCUCCAGGAAAAAGGAGAUGGUUAUGGCAUUGGAUUUGGACUUUCAAGUUUCAGAGUCCAAGGCCAGGAAUGGUCUUUUUGCGGUUGCUUGAUCGUGCCAACCUCCCUCAAGAGAAUCCUCUCACAUCACUCUGCAUGCAUUCGGGUUCUCGUCGCUGAAAACGGAAGUGAUGUUUCCGCUCCCUGCGGCGCCAGCAUAGCUGCUUGGGUACGCCUCCCCAUAGUGAUCUAUGCUCCGGUAUUGACUGUAGUCAUAUUGUGGUGGUGGCGGCGUCAGCGGUGAUCUCACAUACUCGUAUUCGGUGACAUAAGGCGACGGCUUGUAUGUGCUGUAGCUGUGAGUCACGUGGACUGGCUGAGGCGGCGGCGGCGGCGGUGGCGGCUCGUGUUGGAAUGGUUGGUGGUUGCUGCUGCUCGGGUACUUGUAGUAGUGGCUGUUGUAGCCGCGGUUGUAGCUGUAUGAUCUGCAACCGUAGUCUGGGGGUUGGUGGUAUAUUACGCGAACCUCGCCCGAGUCCUUAGGCAUGGAGGGUUGUGGUGGCUGGUUUUCUUGCGGAGGUGGUUGGCCUUCCUGUGGGUUGGCGGCAGCGGGAGUGGCUGGAGGUGGGUUUGCUUCUGGCUGUGGAUUUUCUGUUUGCUGAGGUGGCGGCGGUGGCGGCAGUGUAGGAUUUUCCUGAGGCGGAGGUUCCUUUGGUGGUUCUGAAGGCGGGGCCUCAGGUUGGGGAGGGUUUGCUGCCUCCGCAGGCGGUGGGGCACUGCCGCUGGGGGCUUGUUCUGUGGGCUGAGAAGGUUGGUCUGACGACGGCUCCGUAUGUGAACAGAUGGUGGCAGUUUUUCUGGUCUUCCUAAUGGCUUUGACAAUCCUUUCAGGAUCAGCCCAACCAACAACUGUCAAUUUCUGUUGUGGCAGAUCAAUGUAGAGAUCAUAUAUACCUGAAAUUUUCACAGCAAAGCAAAGUAAAGCAAACUCCUUCACUAGGAACAAAAUUCAGAUGAAAAAAUGAAUGGAGAAAUGAAGAAAAAGGAUACUGAUACUGAUGAUUUAGUAAUUCUUGAUUCUGCUUACCAUUAAUGCCAUGCAGCGCCUUCUUGAUCUUCUGUACGCAGCCGUUGCAGUCCAUCCGGACAUGUAUCUCCGUGACCUGAGGCUUCUGUGCAGACAUGAAUGAAAAGGACUGGCAUCAUUAGAGAGCACAAACACAAUGCUUAACAAAAUCAAGGCUUUUUCCCCAAAGGGGAAAGAAAGAGCAGGUGAGUUGAGGGAAUGGAGCCCUGAAGCAUCAAUACCUCCAGUUCUGGAAUCAUGAGGCAAAGCCUGGAAUGAUGAACAAUAUGAGGAGAUUGGAGAAGAGGAGGUGAAUGAGCAUGUGUAAAGAGAGAAUCAGAAUAGAUGGCAUUUAUUUUGUGCACUUAGAAGGGAAUAUAUGAAAGGAAAAAGUGUGUGGGACAUGUAAGGAAUCUCUUUUCUGGGAGCGUGAGGGAAAUCAAUAUUGCUUGUGUC